rnacentral:rRNA from 1 species
UUAAAUUGAAGAGUUUGAUCAUGGCUCAGAUUGAACGCUGGCGGCAGGCCUAACACAUGCAAGUCGAACGGUAACAGGAAGCAGCUUGCUGCUUCGCUGACGAGUGGCGGACGGGUGAGUAAUGUCUGGGAAACUGCCUGAUGGAGGGGGAUAACUACUGGAAACGGUGGCUAAUACCGCAUAACGUCGCAAGACCAAAGAGGGGGACCUUCGGGCCUCUUGCCAUCAGAUGUGCCCAGGUGGGAUUAGCUAGUUGGUGAGGUAACGGCUCACCAAGGCGACGAUCCCUAGCUGGUCUGAGAGGAUGACCAGCCACACUGGAACUGAGACACGGUCCAGACUCCUACGGGAGGCAGCAGUGGGGAAUAUUGCACAAUGGGCGCAAGCCUGAUGCAGCCAUGCCGCGUGUAUGAAGAAGGCCUUCGGGUUGUAAAGUACUUUCAGCGGGGAGGAAGGUGUUGUGGUUAAUAACCGCAGCAAUUGACGUUACCCGCAGAAGAAGCACCGGCUAACUCCGUGCCAGCAGCCGCGGUAAUACGGAGGGUGCAAGCGUUAAUCGGAAUUACUGGGCGUAAAGCGCACGCAGGCGGUCUGUCAAGUCGGAUGUGAAAUCCCCGGGCUCAACCUGGGAACUGCAUUCGAAACUGGCAGGCUUGAGUCUUGUAGAGGGGGGUAGAAUUCCAGGUGUAGCGGUGAAAUGCGUAGAGAUCUGGAGGAAUACCGGUGGCGAAGGCGGCCCCCUGGACAAAGACUGACGCUCAGGUGCGAAAGCGUGGGGAGCAAACAGGAUUAGAUACCCUGGUAGUCCACGCCGUAAACGAUGUCUACUUGGAGGUUGUGCCCUUGAGGCGUGGCUUCCGGAGCUAACGCGUUAAGUAGACCGCCUGGGGAGUACGGCCGCAAGGUUAAAACUCAAAUGAAUUGACGGGGGCCCGCACAAGCGGUGGAGCAUGUGGUUUAAUUCGAUGCAACGCGAAGAACCUUACCUGGUCUUGACAUCCACAGAACUUUCCAGAGAUGGAUUGGUGCCUUCGGGAACUGUGAGACAGGUGCUGCAUGGCUGUCGUCAGCUCGUGUUGUGAAAUGUUGGGUUAAGUCCCGCAACGAGCGCAACCCUUAUCCUUUGUUGCCAGCGAUUAGGUCGGGAACUCAAAGGAGACUGCCAGUGAUAAACUGGAGGAAGGUGGGGAUGACGUCAAGUCAUCAUGGCCCUUACGACCAGGGCUACACACGUGCUACAAUGGCGCAUACAAAGAGAAGCGACCUCGCGAGAGCAAGCGGACCUCAUAAAGUGCGUCGUAGUCCGGAUUGGAGUCUGCAACUCGACUCCAUGAAGUCGGAAUCGCUAGUAAUCGUGGAUCAGAAUGCCACGGUGAAUACGUUCCCGGGCCUUGUACACACCGCCCGUCACACCAUGGGAGUGGGUUGCAAAAGAAGUAGGUAGCUUAACCUUCGGGAGGGCGCUUACCACUUUGUGAUUCAUGACUGGGGUGAAGUCGUAACAAGGUAACCGUAGGGGAACCUGCGGUUGGAUCACCUCCUUACCUUAAAGAAGC